AAUAGUACCCGGGUAGUCCAUGCCGUAAACGAUGUCUACUAGCCGUUGGGGCCUUUGAGGCUUUAGUGGCGCAGCUAACGCGAUAAGUAGACCGCCUGGGGAGUACGGUCGCAAGACUAAAACUCAAAUGAAUUGACGGGGGCCCGCACAAGCGGUGGAGCAUGUGGUUUAAUUCGAUGCAACGCGAAGAACCUUACCUGGCCUUGACAUACUAGAAACUUUCCAGAGAUGGAUUGGUGCCUUCGGGAAUCUAGAUACAGGUGCUGCAUGGCUGUCGUCAGCUCGUGUCGUGAGAUGUUGGGUUAAGUCCCGCAACGAGCGCAACCCUUUUCCUUACUUGCCAGCAUUUCGGAUGGGAACUUUAAGGAUACUGCCAGUGACAAACUGGAGGAAGGCGGGGACGACGUCAAGUCAUCAUGGCCCUUACGGCCAGGGCUACACACGUGCUACAAUGGUCGGUACAAAGGGUUGCUACCUAGCGAUAGGAUGCUAAUCUCAAAAAGCCGAUCGUAGUCCGGAUUGGAGU
rnacentral:rRNA from 1 species